rnacentral:rRNA from 1 species
GUCCACGCCCUAAACGAUGUCUACUAGUUGUUGGGAGAGUAAAAUCUCUUAGUAACGCAGCUAACGCGUGAAGUAGACCGCCUGGGGAGUACGGUCGCAAGAUUAAAACUCAAAGGAAUUGACGGGGGCCCGCACAAGCGGUGGAUUAUGUGGAUUAAUUCGAUGCAACGCGAAAACCUUACCUGGCCUUGACAUGCUACUAACGAAGCAGAGAUGCAUUAGGUGCCCGAAAGGGAAAGUAGACACAGGUGCUGCAUGGCUGUCGU